rnacentral:lncRNA from 1 species
AAGUCAACAUGGGCCAGCAUCCCUGUGAAUGUUUUGUACACUCAGUACAUUCAAAAGUAUUGGUACGUGUUCUUGCCGUAACCUGUAAAGCUGGAAGAGCCUGCGAGGCAGGGGGAGGUGUAGGUGAUGCCGUUGUCUGAACACUCAGGGUCCCACUCCCCAGCCAAGCAGAAGCAGUCUCUGUUACACUCUGACAACAGGCUGCCAUCGUACACCAGGGGACCUGGGGGACAGAGAAAAUGGCUGGUAAUAAUGAUGUUUAAAUAAUUGUUGCUGAACUAUCAUUGACACAGGCACAGUGACAAAACAGCCAGGAAUCCGGGCUCAGUAACAACCAUACUGAAUAUUCCCACAAGAGGGAGCCCCGGCACAAGCCCAUGUGUGUUUUGGUCAAGCUCUCCCUCAUAUUCCACUGAUCAAAACUUUUGUUUUUAUCAACCCACCAAACAACCAACCAAUCAGAUGACAUAUUUACCCGUUGUAGGACACGGUCAGCCACCUGAACGUUGUCACACUUAGUGCCAGACUGCAGAGGGAGGAGGAGGUAGGCCAUGAAGGAGGUGACGAAAGACAGCUGGGCUCCAGACACAACGCCAAGCUUAUACCUCUUCGUCAGUAGACCUCCCAGGAAUAUCCCCACUGCACCCACAGAUCACAGUCAUGUCAACAGUGGGCAUCAGGCUUGUAAGAGACAUGAAUUAUCUGUGAGAUUCAGUGAACAAGGCUAGAAGGACUGGGUAUUGGCUCCUACGGGUUACUCUGCCUUCCACUGUGAUGGAGAAUGUCUCUACCCUCUGUGUUCCUGCAUGAACUCCACCACCCACACUAUGAUCCAACUAGUGGUCAGUAUGCACUACUACACCCUCUCUCACAUGAACGCUCACAUUACUGGUUUCAGUGGGAAAGACGGGAAAUGGUUCAGACAUUAAUGGCAAAUAUAAAAAACUAAGAUUGCCAUUGUA